AUUGAACGCUGGCGGCAGGCCUAACACAUGCAAGUCGGGCGGAGCGGCGGACGGGUGUGCAAGGUAUGGGGAUCUGCCUGAUGGAGGGGGAGAAGUACGGGAAACGGUAGCUAAUACCGCAUACCAUCAGAUGAACCCAUAUGGGAUUAGCUGGUAGGUGAGGUAACGGCUCACCUAGGCGACGAUCCCUAGCUGUUCUGAGAGGCUUAUCAGUCACACUGGAACUGAGACACGGUCCAGACUCCUACGGGAGGCAGCAGUGGGGAAUAUUGGACAAUGGGCGAAAGCCUGAUCCAGCCAUGCCGCGUGUGUGAAGAAGGUCUUCGGAUUGUAAAGCACUUUAAGUUGGGAGGCGUUACCAACAGAAUAAGCACCGGCUAACUUCGUGCCAGCAGCCGCGGUAAUUC
rnacentral:rRNA from 1 species